ensembl:lncRNA
GGUACAGAUUCGAAGGGUGGACAAGGAAUUGGCUGGAUGGCUGUGUCCAGAGAGCUGUGAUCAACAGCUCUGCGCCCAGGUGGAGGCCAGUGACAAAUGGUGUCUUCCAGGGGUCCAUCUUGGUAGCGGUGCUCUUUAACAUCGUUAUCAAUGACACUGAUGAUGGGAUAAAGUGCAUCCCCAGCAAGUGUGCUGAUGACACCAAGCUGAGUGGUGCAGUUGCCACAAUAGAAGGGAGGGACACCAACCAGAGGGACCUGGACAUACUUGAAAAGUGGGCAUAUGAGAACCUAAUGAGGUUCAACAAGGCCAAGGGCAGCGUGUGUUACUUGGGCAGGGCAAUCCUAAAUGUGAGAACGGGCUCGGAGAUGAACUCAUUGAGAACAGCCCUGUGGAGAAGGACUUGGCUGUCCUGAUAGACAGAAAGUAGAAUGUGAGCCAAUAGUGUGCUUUUGCAGCUCAGAAGGCCAACAGUAUCCUGGGCUGCAUUAACAGAGGGAGGCCAGCAGGGAGAGGGAGGUGAUUGUCCCCUCUACGCUGACCUCCUGAGGUUCCAUCUACAGUACUGUGUCCAGACUUGAGGCUGCCAGCACGAGAAAGUCAUAGGACUGUUGGAGUGGAUCCAGAGGAGGGCCAUGGAGAUGAUCUGAAGGCUGGAGCACCUCUUCUACAAAGACAGGUUGAGGGAGAUGGACUUGUUCAGCCUGGAGAAGAAAAGGCUCCAGGGAGCCUUGUUGUAGCCUUCUAGUACUUAAAACCUACAGGAAAGAUGGGGAGUAUAGUGACAGGACAAGGGGUAACAAUUUUAAACUGAAAAAAAAAAAAAGUGUACAUAUAAAAAAGAAGUAGCACAUGGCAGUGAGUUGGAAUUAGGUUAUCCUUAAGGUCCCUUCCAAUUAAAACUAUCCUGUGAUUCUCUGGUAGAAACAUACUAUUAUAACAGCAUGACUCUUGUGUGUCGUCAAGCAGAAGUACAAUUACUAAUUUUAACUUGACAAUUUCAGUAAAACUACAUCCUGUGUUACGCUACAAAAUAGUGUCAUAGCAGUCAAUUCUGUUACACUAUUAAGGAAUGUAUUAUAAUGUAUUAUUAAUGUAUUAAGGAAUGCAUAUAUAAUGUAUUAUAUAGCCUCACUUCCCCAAGGACAUACAAUGAGGUGUAUGUGAUUUUUCCAUGUGUCAGUUUGUCCUGGUAACUGUUAGGUUACUUGACAAAUUUCAAACAAAUUUAGUAGAAGGAUACAGCUCACAGAUAUAUUAACUUAA